GGCUAGACCGUUUAGGAAGGAUUGAGGCAGUUUUGGUAAACAGUGCUGUAUUGUCAUCAGGUCUGAGAUGUAUUGUGGCCCACACAUUUCAGGUCUGAGAUGUAUUGUGGCCCACACAUUUCAGGUCUGAGAUGUAUUGUGGCCCACACAUUUCAGGUCUGAGAUGUAUUGUGGCCCACACAUUUCAGGUCUGAGAUGUAUUGUGGCCCACACAUUUCAGGUCUGAGAUGUAUUGUGGCCCACACAUUUCAGGUCUGAGAUGUAUUGUGGCCCACACAUUUCAGGUCUGAGAUGUAUUGUGGCCCACACAUUUCAGGUCUGAGAUGUAUUGUGGCCCACACAUUUCAGGUCUGAGAUGUAUUGUGGCCCACACAUUUCAGGUCUGAGAUGUAUUGUGGCCCACAUAUUUCAGGUCGGAGGCCUAACUGUAGGACAUCAGUGUCGGUAACAAACACAUUGCUCUCAACGAAUAGGCCACCAUCAUGGCUAUGUAUCAGGGUUGUAUUCAUUAGUCCACAGCUACAGAAAAUGAAAAAUAUUGGUUAUUACUGAACAAGUCCAGGUAGUCCCUGCUUGUUUCAGUCUGUUUUCAUCCAGAUACGA